GGGAGGGCUGAUAUAUGACAGGUGAUAUUGAAAGAGUGGGCGAAAAGGAGCAAAAAAGCAAAAUGAAGCCAGCUAACAUAUAAAGUCAAAAGGGAACCAGAACUCUCAGGAGCAUAGACUCGGACACUUCCCGGUGGGCGCCACCUUACGCCGCCGUUCGCCGCCGUACUCCGCCAUGGACAGAACCUAUGCUUCUCCGAGCUCCCAAAACCUUACGGCUAUAACAACUAAUUCUGUAGAUUUCGCUUCAUCUUCUUCUCCUUCUCCAACUUCCAUGUCGACCGGCGGUAGCCGUGCCGUGAAAAUCAUCCCGCUGGAGCAUCCGUCUGCUACGGCAUCGUCUACGUCGGCGACGGCGUCUGCUUCGGCAUCUGUCGUAUCGAAAUGGAGGGCGAGGAUGAAGGGGAUGACGUGGAAGGAAUGGAUUGAGCUAUUUUUUCCUUGUUAUCGAUGGAUGCGAACGUAUAAAGUGCGUGAGUACUUGCAAUCUGAUCUCAUGGCUGGUAUCACAGUCGGUAUCAUGCUUGUUCCUCAGUCGAUGUCCUAUGCAAAGCUGGCAGGGCUUCAACCCAUAUAUGGACUUUAUUCUGGUUUCAUCCCUAUAUUUGUCUACACCAUAUUUGGGUCAUCUCGUCAGCUGGCAAUUGGUCCAGUUGCAUUGACGUCCCUUCUAGUCUCAAAUGUCUUGAGCAGCAUAGUUGAACCAUCAGACAAGUUAUACACAGAGCUCGCUAUACUAUUAGCACUUAUGGUUGGCAUCUUGGAAUGCAUAAUGGCGCUGUUACGGCUUGGAUGGAUCAUCCGUUUCAUCAGCCACUCUGUGAUAUCUGGUUUUACAACCGCCUCCGCUUUUGUCAUUGCCUUGUCCCAAGCAAAGUAUUUCUUGGGCUAUGAAAUAGAACGGAGCAGCAAAAUUAUACCUCUAGUCGAAAGUAUAAUUUCUGGAGCAGAUAAGUUCUCAUGGCCUCCUUUUAUUAUGGGCUCACUGAUGCUAUCUAUUCUUCUGACCAUGAAGCACCUGGGAAAAACAAGGAAGUACUUGCGGUUUCUGCGUGCAGCUGGUCCCCUCACAGCUGUUGUUCUGGGUACAGCUUUUGUGAAAAUCUAUCAUCCACCUUCAAUUUCGUUGGUGGGAGAUAUACCUCAGGGGCUGCCAAAAUUUUCUGUACCAAAGCAAUUCGGUCAUGUAAAGUCGUUGAUCCCUACUACAGUUCUUAUUACUGGUGUCGCUAUCCUGGAAUCAGUGGGGAUUGCUAAGGCACUGGCAGCAAAGAAUGGAUAUGAGUUGGAUUCAAAUCAAGAGUUAUUUGGUCUUGGGGUGGCCAACAUUUGUGGCUCAUUCUUUUCAAUUUACCCUACAACAGGCUCUUUUUCUAGAUCAGCUGUAAAUCAUGAAAGUGGAGCGAAAACGGGCUUAUCAGGGCUUGUGAUGGGAAUUAUAAUGGGUUGUGCACUAUUAUUCUUGACUCCUGUAUUUGAGUACAUACCUCAGUGUGCUUUGGCUGCGAUUGUGAUAUCUGCUGUAAUUGGACUGGUGGAUUACGACGAGGCUAAAUUUUUGUGGCGUGUUGACAAGAAAGAUUUUCUGUUAUGGACUAUCACUUGC
rnacentral:misc_RNA from 1 species